rnacentral:rRNA from 1 species
UGAGGAAUAUUGGUCAAUUGACGCAAGUCUGAACCAGCCAAGUAGCGUGCAGGAUGACGGCCCUAUGGGUUGUAAACCUCUUUUAUAUGGGGAUAAAGUGGGGAACGUGUUCCCUUUUGCAGGUACCAUAUGAAUAAGGACCGGCUAAUUCCGUGCCAGCAGCCUCGGUAAUACGGAAGGUUCGGGCGUUAUCCGGAUUUAUUGGGUUUAAAGGGAGCGUAGGCCGUUUGGUAAGCGUGUUGUGAAAUGUAGGAGCUAAACUUCUAGAUUGCAGCGCGAACUGUCAGACUUGAGUGCGCAGAACGUAGGCGGAAUUCAUGGUGUAGCGGUGAAAUGCUUAGAUAUCAUGAAGAACUCCGAUUGCGAAGGCAGCUUACGGGAGCGCAACUGACGCUAAAGCUCGAAGGUGCGGGUAUCGAACAGG